rnacentral:rRNA from 1 species
GUUAUAUGGUCAAGUGAAGAAGCGCAUACGGUGGAUGCCUUGGCAGUCAGAGGCGAUGAAAGACGUGGUAGCCUGCGAAAAGCUUCGGGGAGUCGGCAAACAGACUUUGAUCCGGAGAUGUCUGAAUGGGGGAACCCAGCCAUCAUAAGAUGGUUA